rnacentral:tRNA from 1 species
AGGGGCGUCGCCAAGCGGUAAGGCAACGGGUUUUGAUCCCGUCAUUCGCAGGUUCGAUCCCUGCCGCCCCUGCCA